rfam:Bacillus koreensis strain DSM 16467 scaffold1, whole genome shotgun sequence.
GCUGGUGUAGCUCAGUCGGUAGUAGCGCAUCCAUGGUAAGGAUGAGGUCGCAGGUUCGAUUCCUGUCACCAGCA